GGAUAACUUACCCUUAGGACUGGGAUAACUCUGGGAAACUGGGGAUAAUACUGGAUAUUAGGCUAUGCCUGGAAUGGUUUGCCUUUGAAAUGUUUUUUUUCGCCUAAGGAUAGGUCUGCGGCUGAUUAGGUCGUUGGUGGGGUAAUGGCCCACCAAGCCGAUGAUCGGUACGGGUUGUGAGAGCAAGGGCCCGGAGAUGGAACCUGAGACAAGGUUCCAGACCCUACGGGGUGCAGCAGGCGCGAAACCUCCGCAAUGUACGAAAGUGCGACGGGGGGAUCCCAAGUGUUAUGCUUUUUUGUAUGACUUUUCAUUAGUGUAAAAAGCUUUUAGAAUAAGAGCUGGGCAAGACCGGUGCCAGCCGCCGCGGUAACACCGGCAGCUCGAGUGGUAGCUGUUUUUAUUGGGCCUAAAGCGUUCGUAGCCGGUUUGAUAAGUCUUUGGUGAAAGCUUGUAGCUUAACUAUAAGAAUUGCUGGAGAUACUAUUAGACUUGAAGUCGGGAGAGGUUAGAGGUACUACCGGGGUAGGGGUGAAAUCCUAUAAUCCUGGGAGGACCACCUGUGGCGAAGGCGUCUAACUGGAACGAUCUUGACGGUGAGUAACGAAAGCCAGGGGCGCGAACCGGAUUAGAUACCCGGGUAGUCCUGGCCGUAAACGAUGUGGACUUGGUGUUGGAAUGGCUUUGAGUUGUUCCGGUGCCGAAAGGGAAGCUGUUAAGUCCACCGCCUGGGAAG
rnacentral:rRNA from 1 species